rnacentral:tRNA from 1 species
CCCCCCAUAGCUCAACGGAUAGAGCAAUCCCGUCCUAAGGGAGAGAUCCAAGUUCAAUUCCUGGUGGGGGGA